rnacentral:sRNA from 1 species
ACUCGUAACAAAAUGCGAUUAGGAACCUUUAUAUAUCUCCUGGCCCGUACGCUGUGUCUCGCCCAUUGUGUUCUAGGAGAAGAGAAGCAGACGAAUGUUCCCAAAAAUCAAUGUUAUGGACUAUGCUUGGAUCCACCCGUUCUCCAGAAAGGCUCCGAAUUAGAUGGGGAAAAAGAAGCUCUGAAUAAAGACGAAGUCAUUCCUUCUCUAACUUCAUCGAACAACUUCAUCAACUACUGUAACGGGAAGACAUUAACAAACGGCACCAAGAUCAAUGAAGGAUCUUGUAACGGCAUCCCCAUGGGCGAGAUUCCAUCAACAAAACACAUGGUUUCUACUCUCAUCACGUCUCCGUUGCCAGGUGAUGAAUUCAAAGUCAAUCAGACGAUUACUUUCAAGGUCGC